GACGUAGGGCGCGAGCGUUGUCCGGAUUUAUUGGGCGUAAAGAGCUCGUAGGCGGUCUGUCGCGUCGGCUGUGAAAACUCGGGGCUCAACUCCGAGCUUGCAGUCGAUACGGGCAGGCUAGAGUUCGGCAGGGGAGACUGGAAUUCCUGGUGUAGCGGUGAAAUGCGCAGAUAUCAGGAGGAACACCGGUGGCGAAGGCGGGUCUCUGGGCCGAUACUGACGCUGAGGAGCGAAAGCAUGGGUGGCGAACAGG
rnacentral:rRNA from 1 species